UCCGUGACCCUCUCCAUUAAAGUAGAACUAUUAUGGUUUGAUUCCUGUUCACUGAUCACCAUCAAUUUUGGUGAAAGGCCCCAAAGUGCACUUAGAAAGCUGCCCAUCUUUGGCGAAGGAGCUAGAGACAGUGGGGACAAAGCUGAAUCAGGACUCGCACCACAAACAUGGACCAAAUCUUUCUCAAGCCAUUCACCCAAAGUACGUUGGUUUU
rnacentral:misc_RNA from 1 species